rnacentral:rRNA from 1 species
GACGUAGGGCGCGAGCGUUGUCCGGAUUUAUUGGGCGUAAAGAGCUCGUAGGCGGCUUGUCGCGUCGACUGUGAAAAACCCGGGGCUCAACCCCGGGCCUGCAGUCGAUACGGGCAGACUAGAGUACUGCAGGGGAGACUGGAAUUCCGUGGUGAUAGCGGUGGAAUGACGCAGAUAGUCAGGAGGAACACCGGUGGCGAAGGCGGCGAUC